AUACGGAAGGUCCGGGCGUUAUCCGGAUUUAUUGGGUUUAAAGGGAGCGCAGGCGGAGAUGCAAGCGUGACGUCAAAUUUCGGGGCUCAACCCCGUCUCGCGUCGCGAACUGCGUCCCUUGGUUGCGGGAAGGGGAGGCGGAACUCGUGGUGUAGCGGUGAAAUGCAUAGAUAUCACGAAGAACUCCGAUCGCGAAGGCAGCCUUCCGGCCCGUCAACGACGCUCAUGCUCGAAGGUGCGGGUAUCAAACAGGAUUAGAUACCCUGGUAGUCCGCACAGUAAACGAUGGACACCCGCGGUUUGGCCUGUAUGGCUGAGCCGCCAAGCGAAAGCGUUAAGUGUCCCACCUGGGGAGUACGCCGGCACCGGUGAAACUCAAAUGAAUUGACGGGG
rnacentral:rRNA from 1 species